AGUUUGGCUCAGACUAAAAGAUAAACUUUAUUGAUCCGCAAGGGGAAUUGUUUGGACACCGUGAAGCAGACAUCUGGGUUCCUCAGAGGAGCUGGAGGAAGUGUCUGUGGAGAGGGAAGUCUUGGAGUCCCUGCUCAGACUGAUGCCCCCAUGACCCGACCCCAGCCCCUCCCUGAACAGUCACCUUCUCGUGGUGGAGGGUUUGAGGGCCCGAAUGAUCCCGGGAGCUGUGUUUUUGGGGGCUUCACGCUCCUGGUCAUCAAAG